GAUGAACGCUAGCGGCAGGCCUAACUCAUGCAAGUCGAGGGGUAGCAGGAUUAAGCUUGCUUAAUUGCUGACGACCGGCGCACGGGUGCGUAACGCGUAUGCAACCUACCUUAUACUGGGGUAUAGCCCGGAGAAAUUCGGAUUAAUCCCCCAUAGUACUAAUGAAUCGCAUGGUUUAUUAGUUAAAGCAUUGCGGUAUAAGAUGGGCAUGCGUCCUAUUAGCUAGAUGGUGAGGUAACGGCUCACCAUGGCUACGAUAGGUAGGGGGCCUGGGAGGGUGGUCCCCCACACUGGUACUGAGACACGGACCAGACUCCUACGGGAGGCAGCAGUGAGGAAUAUUGGUCAAUGGGCGCAAGCCUGAACCAGCCAUGCCGCGUGCAGGAAGAAUGCCCUAUGGGUUGUAAACUGCUUUUAUUUGGGAAUAAACCUCUUUACGUGUAGAGAGCUGAAGGUACCAAAUGAAUAAGCACCGGCUAACUCCGUGCCAGCCGCCGCAGUAA
rnacentral:rRNA from 1 species